rnacentral:rRNA from 1 species
AUUGAACGCUGGCGGCAGGCUUAACACAUGCAAGUCGAGCGGAGAUGAGGUGCUUGCACCUUAUCUUAGCGGCGGACGGGUGAGUAAUGCUUAGGAAUCUGCCUAUUAGUGGGGGACAACAUUCCGAAAGGAAUGCUAAUACCGCAUACGUCCUACGGGAGAAAGCAGGGGAUCUUCGGACCUUGCGCUAAGAGAUGAGCCUAAGUCGGAUUAGCUAGUUGGUGGGGUAAAGACCUACCAAGGCGACGAUCUGUAGCGGGUCUGAGAGGAUGAUCCGCCACACUGGGACUGAGACACGGCCCAGACUCCUACGGGAGGCAGCAGUGGGGAAUAUUGGACAAUGGGGGGAACCCUGAUCCAGCCAUGCCGCGUGUGUGAAGAAGGCCUUAUGGUUGUAAAGCACUUUAAGCGAGGAGGAGGCUACUGAGACUAAUACUCUUGGAUAGUGGACGUUACUCGCAGAAUAAGCACCGGCUAACUCUGUGCCAGCAGCCGCCGUAACAC